UUGCAACCAUGGUAAGCCACUACCUUACCAUCGACAGUUGAUAGGGCAGAAAUUUGAAUGAAACAUCGCCGGCACGAACAGAGAAGGCCAUGUGAUUCAUAGUAACUGUUCGAAUCGCAUGGCCUUCUCUGUUCGUGCCGGCGAUGUUUCAUUCAAAUUUCUGCCCUAUCAACUGUCGAUGGUAAGGUAGUGGCUUACCAUGGUUGCAACGGGUGACGGAGAAUUAGGGUUCGAUUCCGGAGAGGGAGCCUGAGAAACGGCUACCACAUCCAAGGAAGGCAGCA
rnacentral:rRNA from 1 species